rnacentral:rRNA from 1 species
GAACGAACGCUGGCGGCAGGCUUAACACAUGCAAGUCGAACGCACCGCAAGGUGAGUGGCAGACGGGUGAGUAACGCGUGGGAACCUUCCCUUUGGUACGGAAUAACUUCGGGAAACCGAAGCUAAUACCGUAUAAGUCCUUCGGGAGAAAGAUUUAUCGCCAAAGGAUGGGCCCGCGUUGGAUUAGCUAGUUGGUAGGGUAAAGGCCUACCAAGGCGACGAUCCAUAGCUGGUCUGAGAGGAUGAUCAGCCACACUGGGACUGAGACACGGCCCAGACUCCUACGGGAGGCAGCAGUGGGGAAUAUUGGACAAUGGGGGCAACCCUGAUCCAGCCAUGCCGCGUGAGUGAAGAAGGCCUUAGGGUUGUAAAGCUCUUUUGGCGGGGACGAUAAUGACGGUACCCGCAGAAUAAGCCCCGGCUAACUUCGUGCCAGCCGCCGC